UUUGCAGCAGAUCCCAAAAAGUUAAAAAAUCUGUGACUUUUACAGAUGUGCCUGAAAGAAGAAGAGAAUUUGAUAGGUCUCCAUCGCAGACGUCUGAGAAUGAAGAUCUAAUUACUGAUCAGAAGGAGGAAGAUUCAGAGCCUGUUGCAUCUGAAGUCACAGACGUCAUGAUUGAGGAAUCUCAGACAGAGCUGAAGAGGAUUUUUCCAGUCAGACCAAGUUCUCAGUGAUUCUUCAUCAGCACCAUUUGAAGCACACAGUCUGGUUUCAUCUUUUUCUGAUCCUCUCAAUGAACAUGCAAGCAGCCUGUGUGAUAUGGACACGUAUGAACAUAGUUUGCUGCUUUAAUUGAUAAUAAUUAGG
ensembl:lncRNA